rnacentral:rRNA from 1 species
GAUCAUGGCUCAGGAUGAACGCUAGCUACAGGCUUAACACAUGCAAGUCGAGGGGAAACGACAUCGAAAGCUUGCUUUUGAUGGGCGUCGACCGGCGCACGGGUGAGUAACGCGUAUCCAACCUGCCCAUCACUUGGGAAUAACCCGGCGAAAGUCGGACUAAUACCGCAUGAAGCAGGGAUCCCGCAUGGGAAUAUUUGCUAAAGAUUCAUCGCUGAUAGAUAGGCAUGCG